rnacentral:tRNA from 1 species
AGGAUUUUAAGUUAAAAAAACUAAAAGUUUUCAAAGCUUUAAAUGGUAUUAAAUUUGCCAAGUCUUG